UCAGAGUUAGUGGAGCAACGUUAAAUGUAGUAUUGGUAUGUGUUACUCUACAAGUUGUCUCUUGAAUCAACAGGUAGAUUAAGUAGAGUUUCUUUAAAAUUAAUUAAAUUAUCUUUUCUUGAACAUGAAUCAGUGAAAAAUGUAUCGAUACAGGGAAAAGAGAGCUCAAACUAAGGAUAGCCAGUGAAAAAAGAUUAUAUUUUUGAAAGCGUCUGUGAAGUAUACGAAGAAAUUCCUUGCAUUCCAACGUUGGUCCAGGGUCUCGCGAGGCCAGCAUCUAGAUGAGAAUGUUACUUUUGUGAUUACUCAUUCGGUGACAUCUGAGGAAUGUGAAGAAUUUCUACACUGUGGCAUGUGUGGCAUAGGUUGACAGAAAGAUAAGGUGCUGGAUAAUCCAAAUGGAUAACACAAGCCCAUUAUGGCCCAGCAUCUGCAGACGCAACAUCAACACGAAUUUUUACCACUUUGCGAUGUACUAUUCAAUAUAAUAUCUCUUGCUUCAUAUUUUUGUGACGUUGUUUUUGACUUUGCAAUGGUAUAUGCUCUUGCGCAUCAUUCUAUUGCUCCUCCAAUUCUUUUUCCCUUGAGCAUUAUUCUUAUAGCAACAUCAUUAAUUAUUUCUCAGAUUAUUAGUAUACGAUGGUAUUUAUGGGGUGCCAGAGGCAAAUUAACUGGUAAUACUAUAUCAGAUUGUAAUGAGAAAAAGGAAAGUAAUAAUUGGACAGUAUGGUGUGUCUUAUUACUUCAUUCCACUCAAGUAGGAGUAUUGUGGAGAUACUUCAAAUUAUUUAUUCCAGUUAAUUUAACUUAUGUCAAACACGAGGUGAGAGAACUUUGCGUAUUACGCCUUAUUCAUGCGUUCUGCGAGGCCGCGCCAAUGUUACUCUUGCAAUUAUAUCUAUUAUCCAUUGGGGUCAACAAUGAAUCAAAUACAGAUGUUGGUAAAGAGAAAGAAACUGAAAGCAGAGACAGUGACAAACUGGCGAAAUUGACUGCGGUAUCUGCUGGUCUAUCUUUGUGGAGUGUAUGUUGGGCAGUUGCUAGUUUUAGUAAGGGUGCAGCGCGUCUUCGUAAUUUAGAGCGUUUGGUACUUACAUGGCUAGGUGUGCUGGCACAACUAGCAUGGCGUUUGGGAACCGUAAGCGCUAGAGUAGGAGUAUUGGUAGCAUAUGCUUCACUCUACGGUGGACAGUGGCUCUUAAUUGUCAUGGCAUUACAUUGGCUAUCAAUGUUGAUGUGGCUACUGCUUACUCCGGAUGGUCUUUUUCACGGUGGUGAACAUUUACCUAUUAUAAGGAAAACAUUUUUAGCCUCGCUUCUUGCGUUUGUCUACAUAUUUGCAUACGUAAAUUUGCACGAAACGAAUCAUCGUCAGAAAAUGGUAAUUUUUUAUACAGUGAUGUUCUUGGAAAACAGUCUGCUCAUAGGUGUGUGGAUAGUGGGUAUCAAUAGAAGCGAUCUCCUUCCACACCAACACCACCCAAACCCUGUAACUUUAGUACUUACAUUUUUAGCUUUAUUCUUUGGUGGUAUGUUUUUCAUGGGUCUUUAUUAUAGGUUUUUUCACGUACGAAGAUUGAGGUAUGAAGCGGGUGGUAGAAUGACAGCUUCAAAUCUAACAGCUUUGUCAAAUCAGGAUAAUUUGGAAGAGAAACAAAUAGAAUACUCAGAGGAGAAAAAAGUAAACGCAAAUGUAGGAGUGAGAAGAGUUAAAUUGAGUAACGGUGGCAUACCAGGGGUAUUUAACUGUCGUUUUGCUAAUCCAGCUGUAGUUAAUCCGAAUCGUAAGAAAAAGAAACCAACUACAUUCGUACCUCCACCGCCGCCACAAUCACAAGCUGAAGCUGUAACGACUUCUAUAAAUACACUAGGAGAUACGAAACAAUGGCUUGGUGUAAAUAAUAAUUCACGUCAAUUAAUACCAUUCUGGAAAAAGUCCGUAAAUUCUAGUGUAAUCUUGAGUGAUCACUCAAACGAGCAAAAAAUCGGAGUAGAUGUUGGAACAACUGGAUCCCUGAGUGUUAAUUUGAUAAGAGAGAAACUUCAAGAAAAAAAACAACAGCAACUGCGAGAAUUAAGAGCUAUCCAAGAAGAGAUCAAAGAAGGAAAAUUAUUUCCUCCACCCUCAGCUUCGGCAUCCUCAUUCUCAUCGUCACCUGCAUCGAAUCAACAACCACCACCUAAUACAAAAUUACACACUUCUCCUAGUUCUCCUUUAUUUACAUCUGCACCGAUCACUUCGGGUGAUCAAAAUGGUGGAAUAACGUUAUCCUCAUGGCCACCGGUAAAAAUGCAUUGUCUUCUACCUCCACCACCUUCCUCCUCCUAUUAUCCAAACGUCCAUCCUUCGAAUUCAUGGAGAACGACGCAGAGAGAAAGAGCGGAUACACCGGAAAUCUUGCUCGCACCACGUUGUCUUCCUCAUCAUUACUCUCAUUGGCCACCUUCCACCCACAUUAAUCAUCGAUUACGUUUAAGCCAAAACGGUGGAGAAGAAAGUUCCAAGGGCGAAGGAGAAAUUGAAGGAGAAAUAAGCGAUAUGGAGGGUAGUCAAGUAUCGUUACCACGAAGCUAUACUCUUCCUCGCGAAUUUAAAUACAAUCAUCCAAAUAAUAUUGCCAGAGAUCGAGAACGACGAGUAGGAAGUAGUAAGGUGACAUCUUCACGUUUUUAUUUACCUUCUACCAAUAGCUCUGAUGGAGAUGUAGAUAGUGCGGAUAACGAAGAUGAAACAGAUUCCGAGGUACAUUUUCGUAUGAAGAACAAUCACAGGCAUAAUACUAAUGGUGAAACACAGCAGCAGCAACAGCAACAGCAACGAUAUAUAUUCGAAGAUAGUAACAAAAAUGAAUUCUUGCACUCUAAUUCAGACUCUGUGUCGGCUGUUAUCAUUUCUGGGAAUUCAUAUCUGAGUAACUCUCAAGGAUUGUUGCGACCAAGUCAAUUAUUCAGAAACAGGGUUAAACACGAAACGAAGCUUUGAAGUUUCUAAGUGCUUCUAUUAAGAGAUUGUAUAAUAGCUAAUUGAAGAUCUGAAACAAAAAAGACUGUAUGUGAUCUAUUUUUAUAAAAUUUAUACUUUUUUUAAUCGAGAUUGACAUUCCUAGGGUGCAGAGCAUGUUUGUACAUAAAGUAACAACGAAGCAACGAAGUAACAUUUUUUAAAUAGCACCGUUUCAUUUGUUCCUUGUAAAUGAUGGGGAAACCAUGUACAAAUUUAAUAUGUGUCGAUUUACCAGGUAUGUUUAUUUAAAUAAUCAGUUUUACAAUUUAAGAACUUAGGAUUCAAAAUAAUUAAUUUUAGUAUUUUACUUAUUAUACAAAUUCUUUUUCAAUAAAUUAUUUGUUUUCGCAAUUGUAUCGUAUAAAAAAAAAUACAUAGCCUAAAAACUGUAAACAAUAUCACUUUUUUAUACUUGAAUAUUUGAAUUUAUUGUAUUUUUUAUCAGUUAGGAAUUUUUUAGUUAAAAUUACAAUCUUACACAUGUAGCAAAAAUAUUUAUUAUGAACUGUUUAAUUUAUUGAUAGCUACAAUUAAAUAAACCGAAAUGAAUAUACAAUACAAAUGAUAUAAGAUACUUUAUACGUGUAUCUUUUUGUAUUGUAUAUGGCAUAUUUUCAUGUCUAUUAAAACUAUACAAAUCAGUAGUUAUGUACAACAAAAUCGUUAUAUAAAAACCAUUUACAUCUGUAUAAAGAAUUUAUAAAUUUAUAUGUUGUGCAAUACCAGUUUGUUGAUAAAAAAAUACUGAUCUUUGUGCUGACAUAACUAUUUCAUAAAGUAAUAGUACGAUAUAUAUACAAUAAAAGUUAACAAGGAACAAUAAUGAAAGUAUCAUAUUUUUGAUACUUUGAUUGAAUUCAGAUACCUUUUAAAGAAUAAUUUCAUUCUUAAAAUUUCUUGUAAGUUCUUUGUGCGGUAAGACGAUAGAAUUUAAUAUAAUUUUCUCAGCUGCUAAACGUACACUAGUACCUGAAAUGUAAAUAAUGUAGCAUUAUCUUUCUUUUUAAAUCGUUUUUUAAAUUAAUACAUUACUUACCGAGAAUUGUUAUAGAAGGAUUGAGCUUGCCAUUAGUAUUAAAUAGGGGCAAGUUUUCCAUUUUUGUAAAUGGCUUGUCAGGAUUAGGAUCACAUGGUGUUCCCUCUAUGCGCGCCCAUUCACCUACAUAGCUGCUUUUCCCAACUAUGCUAUGUAAAACAAUAGAAUGUGCUUGGAUGUGCGCAUUAGCUAAUAUAAUUGACUCUCUUAAUCUAACACCAGGAGCAAUAACAGCAUUUGGACCUAUGCUCACAUUUGGACCCAACUUAGCUGAAGGAUGAAUAUAUACAUCACCAAUAAUCUGACAUGGUCCAUUAACUGUAGUAGCAAGGCGGCUUGGAUGUUUUGCUUUAUAAAGAGCCAAAUAAUGUCGAUUAGCAUAUAUAGCGGAACCUGCUGUUUUAACCUGUGACCACCAUCUCAGAACAGCAUUUACAUCUGAACAAAUAAGUUUUAAGAGGUCUUACGUAAAAUUCUCUUGAUGUUGUCCUGCAUAAAAUGCAUCAGCCAUAGUUUGGAAAAUAUCUAAUGAAGCAAGAUAAAUUCCACAGUUUAUUAGAGGUGAAACAAAUGUUGAUGGUUUCUCCACAUAGUGAGCAACUACUCCUUCUUUAUCCAGAACCAUGCAUCCAUAAUUCAAAGACUGCUGUCUUGUUGCUUCCGUGGCCAUGAUAGUUAACAGUGCCUGUUUCUCUGUAUGGAAUUCAACUAUUUCUUGCAAAGCAAAAUCAGCACAGACAUCACCAUUCAUUACAAAGAAAUAUGUAGGACCACCGGAGCGUAUUUGAUCACGGAAAUGAUACAAGCCUCCUGCAGUUCCCAAAGGUGUAAAUUCUUGAAGAUACCUGAUGAUUAUAUUAUAAGUGCUUGCCAUUUCUUGAAUGAAUUGAGAUAAAUCGCUGGCAAGUUCAUGAAUUCCAGUUCAUUAAACAGGAUAAGAUAAGAGCUAGAAUUUCCUGGCAAAGAACAGUAGAGCAAACUUAAACAAACCCGGAUAAGAAAUUCUAUGAUUGGCAAAUGAGUAGAUGUAUACAAUUAUUAUACAAAAUAUGCAAAAUAAAAGAAUCUUUAGAAUAUAAAUAAAUGAAAUAAAAUUCAUACAA